GUUUACAUUGUGCCAGGGUAGGUCAUCUCUUGCCAGGAUAGGUCAUCUCUUAUUACUGAAAAAUAUCUCUGCAAACUAAACCUUGAUCAUGUUGAGACUAAUGCCAAUUUGUUGUUGGAUUUCUGGGAGCCCUUCCUUUGCAUUGUGGGAGUCUGAUAUAUGUUUUGUAUAGGGGGGACAGUGUAAGACCUCACUGCACAUAUAAUGGUAUAGUGAGGCACAUUGUCCCUAUAAAUAAUUUGAUGUAAUUUUAAGUACAUUGUUUGAUACAUAUUUCUCCAGAUUAAUGGAUGUAUUGCGGAUAUAUAAAGAUACAAGUUAUUGAAUUCUGGCUAUAACUGUAAGACGAGUAAAUCCUGGUUGCUCUAUCUAAUUGUAUCUUCUCCCAUUUAUUUAUGUAACAUCUGAGGGGACUGUCAAGUGGAACGAACGAAGUGGAAUGCAUUUGCGUUCCGGCCACAAGUUGAGGACGUCCGUUGGCGCGCACUACUGGUGGAACACAUGUGCGUUGCGCAGAAGGAUGACGGAUGUCCAAAUAAGGAAACAGGAUCAAGAACGAGUGAGGACAGCUGAUAGAGAUACAGAGGAUUGGCUGAAUGGACCUAAAGGGAAAUGGGAGGGAUAUCACUCUGGAAGGAGGAACACAGAGAUUGUUUGAUGGGCUUUUAACUACCGACUUCUUGUAAGUGUUUAUAAAUAAAAGCGUG